GACCUUACUUGAACAAGAUCUGUUCUAUAGAUACCACUGUAUCUUUGAUUUCUAAGGAGAUAGAAAACCAAGUCUGGUGGAUGAUUCGUAGCCAUUAGACCAGAGCGUGAUUAAUAGCUUCCAUGAUCCUCGGGUCAUGGUGCCAUAGAUGAUUGUUCUUAACCUCGAUCAUGGGUGUUGAGAUGGUUUAAUGGUUGUCUGACAGACU
rnacentral:snoRNA from 2 species